rnacentral:rRNA from 1 species
UGGGGAAUAUUGGACAAUGGGCGCAAGCCUGAUCCAGCAAUGCCGCGUGUGUGAAGAAGGUUUUCGGAUUGUAAAGCACUUUCGGCGGGGACGAUGAUGACGGUACCCGCAGAAGAAGCCCCGGCUAACUUCGUG